GGAGGGGCAGCGGGCCGGGGCGGUGGGGGGCGACCGGCGGGUCCCUGCGGCGGGAGGGGGGACCCCUGCGCCGCCCCACCCCGCGCCCUCCCUGCCUCCCCUGCCCUCCCCCCACGCACCCCGCAACGGUACCGCCGCCGGCAACGUCUCCCCGCAGCGCCCUCAGGCUAUUCCAGUUUGUGGAGAGUGGUUCCCUCUGCGCUGGGCGAGACGGCAGAAGCCCGGUUCUCGGGGCUGUAAUUUGAGGCAACAUAAUCAGAUCAGAAGACAAUGGGGUGUUUUUCAAGUCUUAAAGCAGCUGGGAGCUCACCAGUCAACACUGCACACGAUCAGAAAUGGAUUUCUCUAAUCGUAAGACCUGGCCGAUGUAAAAAUAAUGUUGCCACAGCCCCACUAGAGCACAUUAAAAAGCGUGGACUUACACAGUCUCCAUAAUUGUGAAUCAGCAGAAUGGAUUUUAUUACUUAUCAGGUAGAAAUUCAACACCCGGGAAAAUGUGGUUGCUCUUUUGCCUUGAACGUGCCCUUCUUUCCUGAUUUUUCUCUGGAUGUGUGCGGCUUGGUACUGAGAUACUACAUUCAAUCGGGGAAAGAAGGGAGCGAUACAAAACCCCGUGCAAGCAAAUGAUGCAACACUGCCCUGGUUACAUGUGCUUCCCCUCCCCCGCCGCCGGCCGCCGGAGCGAGCGCUGUUUUUUUUUUCCGCCUGUCGGGUCACUUUGUGGUUGAUUGAUUCUCCUUUCGCCUUGCUCAGUCAUUCAGAUUUGGAAAGUAAAUAACAAGUUGACAUCA